rnacentral:rRNA from 1 species
CUGCUAUCGGAUUGAUUCUAAGCCAUGCGAGUCAUUGUAGCAAUACAAGGCAUACGGCUCAGUAACGCGUAGUCAACCUAACCUAUGGACGGGAAUAACCUCGGGAAACUGAGAAUAAUGCCCGAUAGAACAUUAUGCCUGGAAUGGUUUAUGUUCCAAAUGAUUUAUCGCCGUAGGAUGGGACUGCGGCCUAUCAGUUUGUUGGUGAGGUAAUGGCCCACCAAGACUAUUACAGGUACGGGCUCUGAGAGGAGUAGCCCGGAGAUGGGUACUGAGACACGGACCCAGGCCCUAUGGGGCGCAGCAGGCGAGAAAACUUUGCAAUGUGCGAAAGCACGACAAGGUUAAUCCGAGUGGUUUCUGCUAAAGGAACCUUUUGUCAGUCCUAGAAACACUGAUGAAUAAGGGGUGGGCAAGUUCUGGUGUCAGCCGCCGCGGUAAAACCAGCACCUCAAGUGGUCAGGAUGAUUAUUGGGCCUAAAGCAUCCGUAGCCGGCUCUGUAAGUUUUCGGUUAAAUCUGUACGCUCAACGUACAGGCUGCCGGGAAUACUGCAAAGCUAGGGAGUGGGAGAGGUAGACGGUACUCGGUAGGAAGGGGUAAAAUCCUUUGAUCUAUUGAUGACCACCUGUGGCGAAGGCGGUCUACCAGAACACGUCCGACGGUGAGGGAUGAAAGCUGGGGGAGCAAACCGGAUUAGAUACCCGGGUAGUCCCAGCUGUAAACCAUGCAAACUCAGUGAUGCAUUGGCUUGUGGCCAAUGCAGUGCUGCAGGGAAGCCGUUAAGUUUGCCGCCUGGGAAGUACGUACGCAAGUAUGAAACUUAAAGGAAUUGGCGGGGGAGCACCACAAGGGGUGAAGCCUGCGG